GCUGUGUGUGUAUGUGCAAGUGUAUGUGUGUGCGCGCGCGCGUGUGUGUGUGCAGGGUUUUCCAAUGUUAUAUAGUCUGUAACGUCAUGAGUUAAUGUAUUGCUUGUUUUUCUUUUUGCUAGACUGCAAUCAAUAGCAUUCAGUGAGUGAGCGACAGCAAGGCUAAUAGAUAUUCGUUUUCUAAACGUUACAUGAAAAAAAAGACUGGAGAAAAAAUAGAACAAUUUAUUUUUAUGAAUGGCAUCAAAAAUUCCGUAUUAAAAUGACAGACCGAAGAGAAGACCAUAAGGAGAACAUCUGUGAGCUGUAUUUAUUAUUUAUCAACGCAUCUCAGCUAAGGACUUGCCUGAUUCCCCUGGUAGUCUGCGGAUAUCUGAACACCGCCCCCUUUUCCCACCCGUUUUCCGUAAUGACCCGCCUUUCUUUGCUGGGAUUGGCUGGUAGUUUACACUCAUCAUCAGGUUGUGUCUGAAACAGAGUCAGGGAGGAGCUCAGUCAGGCCUGAUUUGAAGAAAAGCAUCCCAGAAUUCGUAAAUUACAUUUUAUCGUGUGCAAAAAAAUCUAACCUCCAAUGGAUGGGGCAGUUUUACAGAGACCUCCAUCACUAUACUGCCACGAGUGUUGGAAGCAGUGGCAUCAAAGCCUCCGUUCACAAAUAUGAAUUACCUGCCAAUCUCAGCGCGGGUGGGCGGGGCUUGUCUAAAUACGGGUGAGAAAACGGUCUCGCUGCGAGCUUCCAUCAUCUCUUCUCUGUGUUUACAUACGGAAUCACAGUAAGCAAAUGCCAUCUGCCCCACCGCCCUCUCAUCUACACCUUCAAUUACCCGCAGCACACUAAUCGAGCCGAUAUUAAACUAAAUCUUUUUGACAUUCAAAGUCAUUAUCUCUCCGGUUAUCUCUCUCUCUCGCGAGGCGGGGAAAGAAAAUAGCCAUUUCAAAAAGCAACUCGGCGUUCAGGAUAAAUUCUCCUCACAGCGGUAAAUGGAGCCAAAGAGCUGAAAGAAAACAUAGCAGUAAUUUUUAUUAACAGUUUGUAAAUUAGUAAACUGCAUAAAGUGCUGUACUAAACAAUCUAAUAAAGAUUGUAUAAAUAUAUAUACCUUUCUAAACUUUAAAUUUCAAUAAACGGAAUACAAUGUUAUUUCAAUUUAGUUUAAUUCAGUUUUAUUUAUAUAGCGCUUUUACAACAAACGUUGUCACAAAGCAGCUUUACAGAGGAAAAAAAACCAGGUCCACGCCUCUUAUGAGCAGCACCAGUUAUUGUGUAGAUGCCAAUUAUUGUGGUGACACAAUGUGGCAAGGAAAAACUCGCUUACAUUAAGAGGAAGAAACCUUAGAAGGAACCUUGAGUAUUUGUUUUUGUGUUUGUGCGCUUCGGUGCAAUAACCAAUUAAAAUAGUACUUAAUUCUGUAUCUCAGUAAAAUGUAUAUAUUCAAAUGCUUGAUCUCCAUUCUCCACGUAAUUAUUUUAAACAUUUAAGUUAGUUCGUGGCAUAGUUUUAAAGCAGCCCGCUUUAAUAAUAAUAAAAGAUAACUCCAUAAAAAUGGUGUGUAAGUAUUUUAGAAAAAAAAUUAACUAAUCGAUAUAGAAAGUUGUUCACAGGCGGAUCUACCAGGGUGGCAUAGACUCCAAUGCCAGACUGCAGUAAAUUAUAACGAAAUAAACUAUAAUGAAAGCAAGUAUAGUAUAGCUAGUAUAACUGCUAUGCUGAUUUUGGGCUUAUAAAAAUCUUGUUUUGCUCACUAUAACAUGUAUUGUUCGCUAUAGGUCCAGUGAUGCCAGUUACUUAGUAACGCAUUUCUCUAAUCUGUCCAAUUUUCUAGUAAUGAGAAAUCUAACACAUUAGUCACAUUAGUAUGUCCGAUUCAGUAAUCAGAUUAAAGUUACUUAUUUAAGUAACUGUGUAUUACUAUAUUUUUUAUAAUUUUCCUUCUGAGUCUGUAAAUGGUAGCCCGUGGCCAUUGCGACCCCAGAAAUAUUUUUCUAGAUCUGCCCCUGGUUGUUCCAGUUGUUCAAAGCGUUAAAAAAAGUUAAGUAGGCAAACCUGUUCUAAAAACCACUGAUCAUUCUAAAAAAAAAAAACUGCCCACAUAUAAUGGGUCCAACCUACUA